rnacentral:lncRNA from 1 species
GAGAAUGGCUUGGGGCUUACCCAGUGCUGAACAGUGAGACACAGCUUCUUGGACCUGGAACUCCGAAUGGGAGGUUAUACUGCUGGAGUGACUCAAGAAGAAUUGAUGCUCUGGCCCCCAGACAUGUACACGGUGUGAUGACAGGAAAUGAACGGAUUUGCAGAAAACCUUGUGGCCUGAAAUUGAAGCCUAAGGAGUCGGUGCUUGUGAGUAUGAAUUUUGCUUGUUGAGUUCUGUGGUUUUAACGAUGUUCCUGGGAAAUGGG